rnacentral:snRNA from 1 species
GACGACGAGGAGGACGAGGAAGAGCGGGGGCACCGGAGGAAGCGCCGCACGAGGCGGAGCCGCAGCCGCAGCGAGGACAACAGCCGCGA